GGGGGCGUAGCUCAGAUGGUUAGAGCGCUUGCUUGACAUGCAAGAGGUCAUCGGUUCGACUCCGCUCGCUCCCACCA
rnacentral:tRNA from 1 species